rnacentral:rRNA from 1 species
AAUGAGGGAAGCUCGCAAGAGCAAGGAUACAGGUGGUGCAUGGUUGUCGUCAGCUCGUGUCGUGAGAUGUUGGGUUAAGUCCCGCAACGAGCGCAACCCUUGUUGUUAAUUGCUAACAGGUUAAGCUGAGCACUUUAGCGAGACAGCCUAGGUUAACUAGGAGGAAGGUGGGGAUGACGUCAAAUCAUCAUGCCCCUUACGUUUAGGGCUACACACGUGCUACAAUGGUGAGAACAGAGAGAAGCAAGCUAGUGAUAGUGAGCAAAACUUAUAAAACUCAUCUCAGUUCGGAUUGCAGGCUGAAACUCGCCUGUAUGAAGAUGGAGUUGCUAGUAAUCGCGAAUCAGAAUGUCGCGGUGAAUACGUUCCCGGGUCUUGUACACACCGCCCGUCACACCAUGAGAGUUGGCAACACCCGAAACCUGUGGGCUAACCAUAUAGGAGGCAGCAGUCUAAGGUGGGGUCAGUGAUUGGGGUGAAGUCGUAACAAGGUAGCCGUAGGAGAACCUGCGG